UUGUAUUGUUUACCCAUGUAACUAUUAUCAAUGUAUAUCUUUGUAUUGUUUACCCAUGUAACUAUUAUCAAUGUAUAGUCAUAUGUAUUUGCUUGACUUGAUUGUUAUUAUGCUUAACAGUUUGAGUUAUCUCACUGGAAGCAGCUGGCUCACAGGAGUCUAGCUUUUUGUUUAAGAGACAAAUUAUUAUUAUUAUUGUGGCUACUGUUGGACAGUGAUUAUGUGACAGGUUUGUAUUCCACACACCAUCACUUUGUCUUGUUGGUCUGCAUGCACUUGUCCACUUCUGAAUAUGUUUUGUUUGUGCUCUACAUGACCCUGAACGUCAGCAUUAUCUGACUGUUUCAUUGGUCUGUACAGAUUUGUCUGAGGUUGUCAGACGUUUGAUUGAAAUGACUAUUCAGCUCACAGAUUUCGUUUUUUUUUUUUUACAUGUUAAACUUACCAAUCUUGUCAAACUGACACGAUUUGGGUUUAUAUUUUUAAUUUCAUUAAACAGUUUAGACAUAGGGCUGGCUUGUCUCCCUCUGCCAAGUCAUGUACUACUAAAGACUUGUGCCCUUUUAUGGUAUUAGACGACGAAUUGGGAGGCCUCCCAGUGGGGGACUUUUGUCCCCUGCCGUUUGACUCGUUUUAUAAGAUGCAUGCAGGGCUAAGAUGGCCAAUUUAUGAAUAUGUUGGGGUUAUCGGCUAGGAAAACAGGUUAGGUUGCGCGUUUAGGGUCUUUAAUAGAAAAUGUACUUGGCAAAGAGACAACCCAAGACUCAAAGAUUAGAAUAAUAUGUACAACUAAAAAUGUUUUGACAAAUUCUUUGGGCUGAAUACCAGAAGAUAAACAGACUGUUAUGUACCUUGUAGUUUAAUUUGAAAAUUGGUGUAACUGAAAAUAUUUUCUUUGACAGGCAGGGCACCUGGGUGAUGGUAUUCACUUAAUGCAGUGUUAAUUUAAUUAACUGAUGUUUGAUCUGGGCUAAUUGUAUAGAAGUGUUCUGUGGACAAUGUAGGUGGAUGGUGUAGGGGGAUAGAUGGUGUAGGCUUUACUCAAGCUGUCCUGACUGACUGGUUGGGGUAAGAUCAGUCAGUUAAACAGGUAAGACCCCGGUAGUUCCAGUCCCAGAGGUGUUGGUGCUGGAUCCUGCUCUGGAAAUCUGGUGUCCUGGACUGCAGUGCGAGGAUGGCCUAGGUGAACUCUAAAUCUUCAGUAGCAAGAUCUUCUCAGCCACAGGAUGACUUCAGGAUUCUAUGGGCCGGAGUGGACCAAGUAUGAAGAAGUUGGAGCCUGCCUGGAGCUGAGCUGACCUGACCUGAGCUGACCUGACCUGAGCUGAGCUGAGCUGACCUGAGCUGACCUGAGCUGAGCUGAUCAGAAGGAUUUAGUUUCUAAAGAACCCACACUGUCAUUUGCAGAGAUUUUUGCUGCUGCUGCACGGUCUACCUUGGAUGUGUCAUCUUAGGGCAGUGGUGUUCCUGGGUUCUAUACUGUCUGUUCACACAGCAGACCAAAGUUUAUACCUGAACUGGAAUGGACCCUCACAGCUAUGACAGACAUUGGACUGGACCCUGGCAAGAACACGUGUACAAGACAACUAUAGUGAGAAGCAGAAGCAGCAAGUUCCCAGUGAAACGCACCAUUAAAUGGAUACAGUAGACCUGCAGCUUGGAGCUUGGAGAGUGUACUUCCUGAUCCAGGUGACUGCCGCCAAGAUAAUCCGGACCUACCUCGUUGCUACUGGGUUGCCUUAAGGUCCUGGUUCCCAAGGUCCCUGACUCACCACAGCUGCCAGAAGUUUCCAUUGAAACCCCUGCUUGCCUUUACAUGGCUUUUUAUUUUGUUUGUUUAUUUAUUUAUUUAUUUAUUUAUUUAUUUAUUUAUUUAAUGUUGACCGUUGACAAAAUGGCAUGUCAUUUCAUGGAUAUUCUAAGAUUUAGUCUUUGGUCACUGAUGAAUUAAACUCCACGCUUGAUCUAGAUUUAUUGCUGCCUUGCAUUAGUUUACAAUCAGUCAGAAUUUGAGCUGGAUUUCUUUUCCUUCACACUACUAAUAACUAACAACUACUAACAACACCACCCCACUCCACUGUCCUCCCCCUUCUUUUUGGUGCUUAAAUCCAGUCACGAAUUCUUACUGAGAGCUGUACCGUGGAUGCAGGUUCCAAAAUCAGACCUGGAUCCAUCUGGUUUUGUGACCUAACCCAUCCAUGGUACAACAUUAUCCUCUAGAUAAGCUACCUACCAGUCAGCGUGAAGCCUUUUAAAACAGGCUAAAUGAAGAACUGGUUUUUGAUCAAGCGGUUGAAGUUAUUUCAUCAGUGGGCUUUUGGCCACAUCUAGGACUAUGCAUGAGAAGCCAUGUUGAUUUAGUUAACGGUUGACUUGUUUGUUUAAGUUUGGGAUUGAGGUCUGUAGUAGUCCUCUUCUCUUUUUUUAAAAAAUUUUAAUUUAUUUUUUUGGGUGGGGUUUUUAUUUAUUUAUUUUGGGUCCAGGCAA